rnacentral:rRNA from 1 species
UGUUUCGGCUAGGGGGCCAUCCCGGCUUACCAACCCGAUGCAAACUGCGAAUACCGGAGAAUGUUAUCACGGGAGACACACGGCGGGUGCUAACGUCCGUCGUGAAGAGGGAAACAACCCAGACCGCCAGCUAAGGUCCCAAAGUCAUGGUUAAGUGGGAAACGAUGUGGGAAGGCCCAGACAGCCAGGAUGUUGGCUUAGAAGCAGCCAUCAUUUAAAGAAAGCGUAAUAGCUCACUGGUCGAGUCGGCCUGCGCGGAAGAUGUAACGGGGCUAAACCAUGCACCGAAGCUGCGGCAGCGACGCUCAGGCGUUGUUGGGUAGGGGAGCGUUCUGUAAGCCUGUGAAGGUGGCCUGUGAGGGUUGCUGGAGGUAUCAGAAGUGCGAAUGCUGACAUAAGUAACGAUAAAGCGGGUGAAAAGCCCGCUCGCCGGAAGACCAAGGGUUCCUGUCCAACGUUAAUCGGGGCAGGGUGAGUCGACCCCUAAGGCGAGGCCGAAAGGCGUAGUCGAUGGGAAACGGGUUAAUAUUCCCGUACUUGGUGUUACUGCGAAGGGGGGACGGAGAAGGCUAUGUUGGCCGGGCGACGGUUGUCCCGGUUUAAGCGUGUAGGUGUGUGUUCCAGGUAAAUCCGGUUCACUUUAACACUGAGGCGUGACGACGAGGCACUACGGUGCUGAAGCAACAAAUGCCCUGCUUCCAGGAAAAGCCUCUAAGCAUCAGGUAACAUCAAAUCGUACCCCAAACCGACACAGGUGGUCAGGUAGAGAAUACCAAGGCGCUUGAGAGAACUCGGGUGAAGGAACUAGGCAAAAUGGUGCCGUAACUUCGGGAGAAGGCACGCUGACACGUAGGUGAAGUGAUUUACUCAUGGAGCUGAAGUCAGUCGAAGAUACCAGCUGGCUGCAACUGUUUAUUAAAAACACAGCACUGUGCAAACACGAAAGUGGACGUAUACGGUGUGACGCCUGCCCGGUGCCGGAAGGUUAAUUGAUGGGGUCAGCGCAAGCGAAGCUCCUGAUCGAAGCCCCGGUAAACGGCGGCCGUAACUAUAACGGUCCUAAGGUAGCGAAAUUCCUUGUCGGGUAAGUUCCGACCUGCACGAAUGGCGUAAUGAUGGCCAGGCUGUCUCCACCCGAGACUCAGUGAAAUUGAACUCGCUGUGAAGAUGCAGUGUACCCGCGGCAAGACGGAAAGACCCCGUGAACCUUUACUAUAGCUUGACACUGAACAUUGAGCCUUGAUGUGUAG